rnacentral:rRNA from 1 species
GAGCUCUCAAUCUGUCAAUCCUUCCAGUGUCCGGGCCUGGUGAGAUUUCCCGUGUUGAGUCAAAUUAAGCCGCAGGCUCCACUCCUGGUGGUGCCCUUCCGUCAAUUCCUUUAAGUUUCAGUUUUGCAACCAUACUUCCCCCGGAACCCAAAAGCUUUGGUUUCCCGGAAGCUUCCCGAGGAGACAUAAAAUAUAAACAUCCUCGGAUCGCUAGCUGGCAUCGUUUAUGGUUAGAACUAGGGCGGUAUCUGAUCGCCUUCGAACCUCUAACUUUCGUUCUUGAUUAAUGAAAACAUUCUUGGCAAAUGCUUUCGCAGUAGUUAGUCUUCAGACGGUCCAAGAAUUUCACCUCUGUCGUCUGAAUACUAAUGCCCCCGACUGUCCCUAUUAAUCAUUACACCGAUUUCCGAAAACCAACAAAAUAGAAACAGUGUCCUAUUCCAUUAUUCCAUGCACAGAUAUUCAAGCGUGUAAAGCCUGCUUUGAGCACUCUAAUUUUUUCAAAGUAAACCUGACGGCACUACGAGACAAUCGAUUAAGAUCACCCCGAAGCCUCCGUCAAAACACACACAUCGACGGGGCAGUAACGUCGAAUAACGAACCGCCCGCGACGUGUUGAGAUCCAACUACGAGCUUUUUAACCGCAACAACAUUAAUAUACGCUAUUGGAGCUGGAAU